rnacentral:rRNA from 1 species
AGAGUUUGAUCAUGGCUCAGAUUGAACGCUGGCGGCAGGCCUAACACAUGCAAGUCGAGCGGUAGCACAGAGAGCUUGCUCUCGGGUGACGAGCGGCGGACGGGUGAGUAAUGUCUGGGAAACUGCCUGAUGGAGGGGGAUAACUACUGGAAACGGUAGCUAAUACCGCAUAACGUCGCAAGACCAAAGUGGGGGACCUUCGGGCCUCAUGCCAUCAGAUGUGCCCAGAUGGGAUUAGCUAGUAGGUGGGGUAAUGGCUCACCUAGGCGACGAUCCCUAGCUGGUCUGAGAGGAUGACCAGCCACACUGGAACUGAGACACGGUCCAGACUCCUACGGGAGGCAGCAGUGGGGAAUAUUGCACAAUGGGCGCAAGCCUGAUGCAGCCAUGCCGCGUGUAUGAAGAAGGCCUUCGGGUUGUAAAGUACUUUCAGCGAGGAGGAAGGCGUUAAGGUUAAUAACCUUGGCGAUUGACGUUACUCGCAGAAGAAGCACCGGCUAACUCCGUGCCAGCAGCCGCGGUAAUACGGAGGGUGCAAGCGUUAAUCGGAAUUACUGGGCGUAAAGCGCACGCAGGCGGUCUGUCAAGUCGGAUGUGAAAUCCCCGGGCUCAACCUGGGAACUGCAUUCGAAACUGGCAGGCUAGAGUCUUGUAGAGGGGGUAGAAUUCCAGGUGUAGCGGUGAAAUGCGUAGAGAUCUGGAGGAAUACCGGUGGCGAAGGCGGCCCCCUGGACAAAGACUGACGCUCAGGUGCGAAAGCGUGGGGAGCAAACAGGAUUAGAUACCCUGGUAGUCCACGCCGUAAACGAUGUCGACUUGGAGGUUGUGCCCUUGAGGCGUGGCUUCCGGAGCUAACGCGUUAAGUCGACCGCCUGGGGAGUACGGCCGCAAGGUUAAAACUCAAAUGAAUUGACGGGGGCCCGCACAAGCGGUGGAGCAUGUGGUUUAAUUCGAUGCAACGCGAAGAACCUUACCUACUCUUGACAUCCAGAGAACUUAGCAGAGAUGCUUUGGUGCCUUCGGGAACUCUGAGACAGGUGCUGCAUGGCUGUCGUCAGCUCGUGUUGUGAAAUGUUGGGUUAAGUCCCGCAACGAGCGCAACCCUUAUCCUUUGUUGCCAGCGAUUCGGUCGGGAACUCAAAGGAGACUGCCAGUGAUAAACUGGAGGAAGGUGGGGAUGACGUCAAGUCAUCAUGGCCCUUACGAGUAGGGCUACACACGUGCUACAAUGGCAUAUACAAAGAGAAGCGACCUCGCGAGAGCAAGCGGACCUCAUAAAGUAUGUCGUAGUCCGGAUUGGAGUCUGCAACUCGACUCCAUGAAGUCGGAAUCGCUAGUAAUCGUAGAUCAGAAUGCUACGGUGAAUACGUUCCCGGGCCUUGUACACACCGCCCGUCACACCAUGGGAGUGGGUUGCAAAAGAAGUAGGUAGCUUAACCUUCGGGAGGGCGCUUACCACUUUGUGAUUCAUGACUGGGGUGAAGUCGUAACAAGGUAACCGUAGGGGAACCUGCGGUUG